CCAUGAGAGAAGCGAGCGACGAAAGCUCAGUUCUUCUACACCGCUGGACGAUUCGUUCAUUUGACUGUUGUGGAAAGAAUACGGCAAAUACCCCCGGCUAUCAAAAUAAGGACCCACUUGAGAAAAUAUUUGAAGGAAGUCACGUGAUAUAGGUCUGAAUCUGUCCUGGCUGUGACACACAUGGCUUGAGAAUUUGGGUGGCCUAGGGGUUGGUUGUUAUCUUUGGUUAUCUAGCUGUAUGAGUGGUGUACAUUCUUCAUAAAGCUAGAUAACCGAAAGUAACAAGAAUCCCAUUACACUCCUGAAAGGCAACAAGACUCCCUUCAUCCCUGGGAAUGCAAAAAAAAAAGAAAACAUACAUGCAUAUGCAAUAGUAGAAACCAAAUCCAACAAUGAAGCAAUCAGAAGAGAGCAGAGCAAAAGUAAAACAAAAAGGCAAUGAGCGCGCAGGGAGACCGUGAAACAGAGGAGGAGGGGCUGCGAUUUUUACACCGGCUUUGCGCGGCCGCGCCUGUCGACGCGUUUGCCUCUUCCCCUCCCUUCCCGGUUGCCUGCCCGCCCGCUUUCCCUGUACGGGAGGAUGCCGCCCUCGCCACCAUCUUAGGAUAAGGCUGGCAUGAAAUGGCAGUGGGACCCCAAGCAGGUGAAAGAUGACUGGCACAGGAUUGGCUCAUAAUGCUGAUCAUUGUGAGAGGACAGGUAGACACUGAUGUCAUGCUGCCUGAGGACUUUCAUAAUCACCGGUGUGAGCAGUGUUGGUUUUCACAAUUGCUCAAAAAGAUCUCACACCCAGAAUGAGGCUCUCUUGUUUCAUAUGUGACUGUCACACAGUCUUGUGCACCUGUAUUUGAACGUGGAAGAACUUCAUCAACUUAACAUGUGGGACAAUUGUAGUUUUGUUUUGAGGAAAUAUCUUCAAGGGAUAUUCCAGUCAUGGCAAUCAUCUAACCAUGUAACAGAGAAUCUAUCCAUCGCCACAGGAUAAAGGAGCUACAGUUCAAAAUAUAUGUUGGAAAAGGACUUGUAGUGUGGGUGGAUCUACAUGGAGAACGACGCUGACUGGGCCUUUAAGGUCACAAUUCAUCAAGGUAUCAAACUUGUAAAAAAAAAAAAAACACCGUCAAGUUUUCAGGCUAAUAAAAAAUCAUUUCAAGGUUCCACUUGAAGAACA